GAUGCAAGGGCUUUGAGCACUGUUAUGGAAUUGGCAGACGUGAGCAGUAUUUGCCUGUCUCCCCAACUAAAAAUGCCAGUAUCCAAUGACUCAACUCUCUGCAGCUGAUUUGCUCUUUCCUUGGGUCACCCAUUAUGGCAAGGUAGGACAUGAACUUCUUCAGCACCUUGCUUGGGAAUCCACAUCAGGGAGCACACCUGACUUACUCAGAAAAUAUCUCAUUACUUCUGACAUUUUAAAUCAGAAACCAAGUGUUAGCUGAGCAUAAGAGUUCUGAUAGUCUUCUAUGGCAACCAUUAAUUGGCAAAUAUACAUUGAAGCGGACCAACUGACUUUGAUAGAAUCUGACUAUUGAUAUAGAAUCUUAAUGAACACUGUUUUCUGAUCACCUUGGUCCAUAUGCUUGAGCCAUUGCAGGCACAGAUGAUAAGAAUCUUAAUUUGGCAGUGGAUAUUUAGCAAGAAAGUGAAUGGCAAGAACGGAAGAGCUGUGGAAGCUGGAGGCCAGCACUGAUGUAGUAGGCAAGAACAGCAGUAACAAGUGACACAGAGCAAAACACCUCUGAAAACCAUAACCAGAAAAGCAUUACCAGAAAUACCUGUCAAAACUGACGUGAAAUUGGGGAACUAGCAGAAAUCACAAGAAUGAGCAGGACCACACACACAAUUUUUGAUGAUGGCUGAACACAGUCCCCCACAUUGACCGCCACCAGACAGCAUUGGAGGACCACAAAGCCCAAGAACUGAGGGUUGUCCACAGUGAUAGGACCUGGAAUUUUUCUCCAGCUGGGAGAAACAGCUGCCAAAUUCAGCAAAUUUUGUUGGUGGAGCUGAGGUGGCUGCUCUGUAAGAAAAUACAGAUAACAUUUCUGUAGAAACCCAGCAGACAACUGGAGAAAAGAUGCGGGGAAAAAGAGAGACCUUCUGCAACACAGGUCUGGCUCCAAUACACAAUGCGUUUUGCAUGUCUCGGGAGCGUACUAUCUCUAUUUGCACAUUUUAAAGUCCUGCAUAGUAGCACAAAUGGGAUGGCAUGAGGAGGUUGUAGGAGUCGAGAGAACUGUGCUAUGGAAGGAAGAGACCCUCAUCAGUAUUUCUGCCAUUAAUACUUUGGGGAGGAAAGAAAAGAGAAAAUCCCAAACCCAAAGCCCCACACUAAAUAUGCACUUGUUCUCUCAGGCUGGCAGCCUCGAAGUUCAUAAACUCGGAAUUACCUUGUUUGGAAUAAACUGUUCUGAAAAUAAUUUCCAAAGGCUUCACCGAGUUUGCUUUGCUGGUGGCAGCCUUUCGGCUCCAAGCUGGCACGUGUAUGAAGCUCUCUGAACAAGUUUUGACAUUCCUUUUGCCCCUCUGCCCAUCAAGCCAGGUAAUGACAUGCUUUGUAUUGCACAGAACACAUACAAUUGACAAUUUCAUAGUGGUGUUUAAAUAUUAAACAAUCUAGACAGGCUUUUGAGUCUUACGCCACUAGGAAAAGGCUCAGACCAUACCCAUCUUUGAAAUUGGGCUGCGGGAUCAUUUGCACAGUAAGACAGACAGUAAGACUUGUAUACAUUGCCAUGCAACAGAAGAGACCCCAAACCGCCAGCCCUAAGUGGAAAGUUUAUUUCUAAGCACAAUAUAUGGAAAAACCAAACCAACAAACCCCACAGAUAUAGAAAAGGUUGUAGCAAAUCCCUGGUCAAGUAGGACUUCAUGUCGGUCACUACCCUGCACCUCACAGCUGUUUAAAAUGUCAUGCAAUGGAGGAGAGGGCACUCGGAGGACACCCUCUGCUUCGGAUCGAGGCAGAUCUCCAAGCAGGAGAGGGCCCGUGGUUCUCCUGCUGAGCAAUUCGGACUGUAACCAGCAAACAGGCAGCGCUGCUCACCCCCACCACGCGCCUCGCGACUCCCUGUGGCACUUCAGCAGGCUUUACCAACGUGGAUUCUCACAACACCCCUGUGAGGUAGGUACGUAUUGUUAUUCCCCCUCUGUGUGGAUGGGGGACUGAGCCAAACAGCCCAAGGCUACAGAGUUGGUGGCAGAGCUGGAGUGACAGUACGCAGAGUCCUGUGUGCUCGGAUCGCUAAGUCACACCACUCUCGCACGGCAAAUUGUGCUUCUGACCUGAUAAGCUUUUAGACUUUUACCAAAUUAAAGGAAUUUGAAUUCUCUAUUUUAAAUGAGGGGAGGACAGGGAGGGAAGCAACAUGUUGUCUGACAGCCUUCUGUUCAUUGGUGUACGUCUUCCCCUUUCCAAAACCACCACCAUUACCCGUCUCUUGGAACGAGCACAGUUUCCAGGACAGGCAUGGGGGUGAGGCUGCUGUGUUUGCUUCCUUUGACAAAGUUUCUCUCUACUGUGGAUCAGAAGUACUUCUUCCAGAGACUGUUCACUGCAAUACUGUCAUUCUGGGGUAGCUGCUUUUAGAGAUGAUCAGAAGUGCCCCUUCCUCUCCGUCCUCCCACUAAUGUCCUUUCCCUCACCUCAGUCAAAAGCACUCUUUGCUGGACAGUAAGAUUGGUCAGAUAAAGGUACGGUGGCCUCAGAAACCAUGCUGUUCACAUCUGUCCUCACCACGUCAGCUUUCUUGGCUGGUGUUUCACCUCCUAAAUUCUCUGCUAGAGCAGUACCUGCUCCGUUGCCUUCUGAUAUUCAAAGGGACACUGUCAAGUAAUCUGGAUGAAAAACAUGACCCUGCCUUAAGAUGCUAUCCUCCAUCUCCAGCAUUGCAGAAUGGCUGGUAGUUCAAACCUGGGGGCUAAAUUUGAUGUUUCCCUCCAUGCAGAAACACUCAACCUAUGAUAGCCUCACUGCAGUGGGGGCUGGUGGCCCGCAUUUGCCAUGGCCACGUUAAAAGCUGUGGGAGGUGUUGGUGCAAUGACAACAGGCAGUUGGACACAGCCACUGCGUGCUGCUGCUCAGCACUUCUGCAGAAUGGACAUGGUUUGGCUGAAGUCAUGGUAGUUUUUGGGAGGGCUGGGUUCAGGCUUGAUCACUGCAGGCUCACUGUUUUUGGACUCCUGAGCUUCUGCUGCUCAAUGAACUGAUCUCUCUGGUUUUAGGCUUUCUACUCUGAUGCCUGCUUUGUGGAAGCUGCAUCAGCAAAAGAACUCAACCUCACAGAGCUGGGAGAUACACUCCAUGGAGUGAGGGCAGUGAGCAGGAAAUUGCAAACAUGGAUCUCUUCCUGUUGCAGAUGAAAGGUGGAGGACAGGGAUGGUAAAAGGAAUGAGGCGAGUAGAGAGAAUACUACAUGCCAAAUGGAAAAGAACAGUAUCAGUAGGGAAAGAAGUUUUAUUUCCAAGAUUGUAAGAGAAUAUUACAAACAAUGGAGAGUAAAAAAAGCUCAAACUCUAAAAACUAUUUAAAAAGUACUUGACAGUGUCCCUUUAAUAUCCACAAAUGAUUCAGCCAUUGUGCAUUGAAAGAGAAUGUUCCUGAAGAGCAACAAGUACCUUCGUGGAUAUAUCCCAGAGAAGGAGACUUAUUAGAAGUGUUAUAUAUUCGAUCAGCAACUGUGCUCCCUCUUCAGACUAACUCUCUGUUGAACGAUUGAAUGGAAUAGACUCGGUAACAAACAAACUGGAUGUGAAAGGUUCAGCCUACAAGACUGAGACUGUUACAAAUUGAGCAGCAGGGAUAAAGACGCUGGGGAAAAAAAAAUAGUAUUUCUCAAACGUAUGAGUAUGUGAAUCAGCAAGGUAGCAGAAACCCACAGAGAUGGGUCAGCUUUUUGUGACUGCAGUAAAAUGGAAGGAAAUUAACCUGGGAUGCCUGCAUGGAAAAACGGUGUGUAUGAAUGGGGAAGAUCUGGAUGCUGGAUUUGGGGUUAUGAAGGCAUAAAUCACACCAGUACUUGUGCUUGAAACACCUGCGGAGCAUUUGUACAAAAUCUGCCACAAAUGUCUACACGUCGAAUAAAGGUCAUGGAACGCCCUCCCUCCCCCCCUCCCAACUCCACCCUCACAAACCCUUUCGUCAGGAACAUGAUGAGAAAUCACGAUUUUUGUUUUGGUGAAAUUUGGGUACGCCUGGGCUUUGUUGCAUUUUCUUGGCGAGAUGAUUCAACGGUCGGUUGUUUUGUGUUUUUGUUUUUGUUUUGUUUUGUUUUUCCCAUAAAUCACUACUGAAAAAUCCCCAGCCAUUUCACUUCAGAUAUCCUAUGGGAAAUCGAUCAAGGUUCCAGAAUGACUCAUGAACAAAACGACUCAUAGCCCUGGUUAAUCACAGUCUGGAAAAAAAAAAAAAUUACUCCAAAUAUUUCAUUCCCUUCCUUGUUUAUAUAAAUCUCACACUUGCGUGCGUGUGUGUGUGUGUGUGUGUAGGGCGGGUGUGUACAGAGCAUCACCUAUUCCAGGUAAUAGGAUUUGUAAGACAUGCUAAACCGUCUGUUCCUCUGCUUCCCCAGAACUCUGCCUACUCAGUUUUUAGUCUGUAUUGCACUUGUUUUGUUGGUUUUUUUUUCUUUUUGUGAUUUGUGUGGUUGUUUUUUUUUUUCUUUUUUUUCUUUUUUUUUUUCCCUUUUUUUUUUUUUUUAACUGGCUGGAAAACAUUACCCUUUUUAGCAUGAGUGUGCAGCUCUCCCUCCACCUGCUUUCUCCUCAGCUGGCCAGGUGCCGCCUCUUAUAUCUUGUGCAGUUACCAAAAAAAAAAAACCACAACCAAAAGAAGGAACAGAAGAAGAAAAAAAGAACAAAAGGGAAGAGAAAGAAAAAGGCACACCAUGCUCCUCUGCGUUACGAGUUCUGCGUCUCCUCCGCUCUGCGUUAAGGCCUCCUGAAUUCCUCGGCUCAGACCGUCGUGACCCUCAUGACGAGCUCUCUGUUACUACUAGACUGACUCCUCUGUUCGUGAGGCCUCAGGUGGCUGAGUAUAUGCAGGAUGGUGUAAGCACAGUGGUGGUCAGAGAGGGUGCCUGUGGCAUGGCCGGCGGCCCGGGCCCCGCUGUCGGCCGGAGCGGAGUUAGUGGCUGUACCACCAGUGGAGGACGAGUGGGUGGUUUGGGAGGAGGGACGCUGAUUUGUCCUGGUCCCUGUUUUUUGUUCCUCCAUGUCCUUUGUUUUGUCAUAGUUCAGCACUUUCCACUGCUGAUUGACCGCCUGCCACCGUUUAAAAAUCCGGUAAACCGAGGGCCCUUCGUGUAUUAUUAGACCUGGAGGGAAGGGGGAAAGAAUUAAACAUAGAAUAGAGACAAAAUUUCAGAAGAACCGUAAGCUACCCCAGCAUCGAGCCCUCCAGCUGGCUGGUCUGCUCAGCUCUACCUCAGCUUAUCCAGUGAUAAAUCAUGGAAUCAUAGAGUCGAGCUGGAAGGGACCCUUAAAGGCCAUCUGGUACAAUGCCCUACAAUGAACAGGGGUGCCUACAGCUCCAUCGGUGCUCAGAGCCCAUCCAGCCUGACCUGGAGUGUCUGCAGGGAUGGGGCUUCCACCACAUCUCUGGGCAACCUGUGCCAGUGCCUCACUGCCCUUACUGCAAAAAACUUUUCUCUUAUAUUCAGUCUAAAUCUCCUCUUUUUCAGUUUGAAACCAUUUCCCCUUGUGCUCCUGCUCUGCUGGAUCCCUUUCCCCCUGAAUUAAAAGGAUUACAACUUCAUCUCAGCAAUCAAUAAACAGGUCUUAAAUGCAGCAGAGUGAGUUAUGCUCUUACAGCAGAACAGUAUCUGUUUACCAAUAAAUGCCUGAGGUUUAUCUAUCACCGAGCUGGUUUUGCAUGCUGCAUAGGCAUGAUUCACUGUGUGUUUGGAGGGUAUGUAACUGCAGCUGACGUCCUGGUGACGUCUGCUGCACCAACGUCACUGCGAGCUCAGAGCACAUCUCCCCACGCGCACUGCAGCGGAUCAGACACGCGCACAGAGGCCAGGGACAGCAGUCAAACACAAGAAGGGGCUGGCUACACCUGUAAAUGGUUUGUCAUCCUCAGCAAACAUUUGCUCAUUGGCAAAGCAGGUACCUUGUCAGACCUCAUUGCUUCCAAGGACAGAAAACAACACACUUGGAACAAAAGAGCUUACGUAGUUUCUGCUGUGAGUAUGCAGAGAAUGCAUAUGUCCUGUUACCCAUCUGUAUGCAUCAGAACUGGUAUCUGGGGGAUGGCAAGUGGGCUUUAGGACACUUGGCUUCUCUGCAUUUGAAAGAGAAUGAGCAGCUCAGGCCCUUCCACCAGGAGUUAGCUCGUCUCCCCGAGCUCCACCAUCCUCCCCACAGCAAGAGGGCUGGAAGGAUGAGAUAAUGCUAGAAGUUGUUUAGAAGAUGACAUUAUGUGACUAUUAAGCAUCGAUACCAUUGACGUUACCAAGCUUUGGCUAUAGCCUUUGAAUGCAAUGCAAGCAGCAGUGCCUACAACAGUGUUGUUCUUACCCACUGAGGCUGAACGAAGCUUCUCAUCUAGACUGGCUUAGUUGAUGCACUGUAAUAUAGUUAAUAAGCUUUACUGGAGAGUGGGAUUUAUGCACUGUGAGAGGUCUCUGUGUCCUUGGUUUGCAGCCAUCUAUCUGAUAGGAAAGUGUCCUUGUGUAACUGAAGCCAGACCAGCAGGUAGAGCAUGUACUAUUUGAGUUAGCACAUGGAUAACUUCAUUCCUCUCAACAGUGAUGGCUUCACUAUCCUUGGUCACCAUCAACAUUACCAGAAAUGUUUAUAUUAAGAGCAGCUCUUUUUCCUACCUGUUCCAGGAGUACAAUUACAAGAGCAAAGAACAGAAGACCUACAAGAUGCAAGAAGCAAAACCAUAUCAAAAUGAGGAGGCUGCCUUGUCCAGCGAGGGGUGAUGAUAUUCACAACAGAAUACAGUGAUCAAGCUGCAGUCUGCCACAGAGCUAGCGCUGCUGAAAGCUGUUCACGUUCCACAUUCUACUGAUUUGCACAGCUACGCCUGAGCUUCUUCACACCUAAGCUGCAGGAAUCGAGAAGAAGAGCAUGACCGAGGGGGAACCUGAAGGCAAAGCAUCAAAAGCAUUGCUCAAGCCAUGGGAUGUCAAACCGACUGCUCCCUCCUCAGCCGCCAGGAUGGCGACCCUCCCAAAUCAGAGGUGGUUAUACUCUCAUGCUCAUCAACUGGUCAGUUAAUGAUUUUUCCUAGUAUCUUUCUAUGAAUCAGUUAAACUCCUUUGCCCUUCAUUUCCUUGAUCUGCCGUUCAAACCUUCUGCAAUGACAGAGAUUAUAUUCAAAGCCAGGUACUCUGCCUGCAUUUCCCCAGCUGCCUGGCACCUCCUGUGUCCUCCCUGAGUUCGCGAUGAUAAAAUGCUCACGGGUCAGGGAUUGCUCCUGCGGCUUCCUCUGAAGUUCAUUAAAAUGUGCUGACAAGGACACAGCUAACUUGUCUAAAUAUUUUUGAGUCUGUUCUUUUCUGAUUCUGCCCUGGGCUCCUUUCUCCUCAUUAAAAUUAUUUUAGUUAAGUUUUGAAGACUGAAACAAAGGCAACAUUUAAUGCUUGGCCUUUUUUUUCCCUCCCCCAUCAAGUAUUAUUUGAGCUCUUACACUUGCUUUAACAUAACCUUACAGACCCAUUUCUUGUUGCCUUCUCUCUCCCUGCAUGGUCAUCCUGGGGCUCGGGUCUGACUGCUCCCCAUGGCUGUGUGAUUCCUGGAGACCUGUCAUUAAUUGCAGGCUCUUCUUUCUGCCUUUUUGUGAUUGCAGCUUCUGAUUUUGGGUCCUCAAAGAGCUCCUGAUGCAGCCUCAGUGCUCUCUUCCCACGCUUCUGAGCUUUCCCCUGCACAGGCACAGUUUGCUGUUGUGCCUUUAGUAUCAUCCCUUUUGGCAACCGUGAGCUGUUCGCAGCUCUUUUAUCCUUCUGAUUCUCUUCCCAAGACUUACUCCCUGCUCUGCUCCCCUGAGGCUGCUGCUGCUGCUGCUUUUCUGGAGUCCAUUAUCCUCACAUCAUACAUUUCUUGAGUUCAGGAACACUUUCAUCGCACACUCCCUUUUCGUACAAACUACUGCUACGUUCAGAUUUUCAGGGAUUCUUUGCUCUCAGGAAAACUCAAAUAUGAAGGAUAGACUCCUUCCUAACUCUCAUCUCUGUUUUCCAAAAUAUAAUUUCUUUUCUACACCAUGUUUCCAGUGCUUAGUGGGUAGUCUGCCCUGCAUACACGAGGGCAGUGGAUGACCUGAGUCCUCUGUGCCAUCCUUAAGACAUUUCUAAUUGUUGGGAGGCACCAGAGAAGUGAGCAGAAUGCUUUUAGUCCACAGGAUAUCUAGCAAAGGUCUGCCCUGAAUGCUGAUACAAGGAGGCUGUGCAAGCUGGGAAAUGUCCAGCAUUGAAAGAUACACAGCAUACACUGAAAACGUAUUCAUAAAGAUUAGAGCUCGAGUGAAUGCUUAGCAGCAUAUGGAAAAAAAUAAUUAGCUGAUUAUAAUCAGGCGUUUUCUUAUCAAUCAUUCUCCACGCACAUUUUUUAAUACCUCGAGAGAUGAUUAAAUAUGUGCAAGGCUGAGCUGUGCUUUGGCCAAGCAGAACUGGGAUGGCUGUGUGGCUGGGCCCUGUUCGCUGCUGUUGACCAUAGAAUCGUUUGAGUUGGAAGGGACCUUUAAAGGCCAUCUAGUUCAACACCCCUGCAGUGCACAGGGACACCUACAGCUGCAUCAGGGCACUCAGAGCUUGGUCCAGCAUGACCUUGGGAUCAGUGGAUGAUGUGUGCCAUCACAGAGCCCAUGGGUCUGGGGAAGACAAAACACUCUUUCUUCUCCCCAUCACCCUUAGAUGUAUUUUCUGUAAUGCAUUUUGCAUUAUCCAUUUGCACAAUGGGAUUGCACUGACAGGCAGCUUUCACACCGUUCUGUGUCUCACACUUGGCUCUCCUGGGGUCACAUGGGCCACAGCUCUGGCAAAACUGAAGCUGAGCCCCUCCAGUGUAUGCAGGCAAGCUGCUCUGAGCUCUCUUGGUGAGGUACUUUGUGAAGGUGUGGACUAUUCCCUUUCAGACCAUUAACAGCACAAGUAGGCCCCCAAGCCCUCUGUUGCUGAUGAACCAGCAAACUUUGGCUUAGUAGAGCUUGGCUCCUCUCAUGCAAGCUGGGCUUGAAGGACAGCUCUGCCUUAACGCUUCCUCAGCCCCAGAUGGGCCACAAUCCCCUGUAAUGGUAGUAGAAGCCCUUCUGCUUCCCUCCUCUGCUCCAUCUGGCAGAGCAACAGGAGCAGGAGCCUCAUCUGAGCUAUGUCCCAAGGUCUGCACAGCCAUUAGCACCCACUCUCGGAAUCAGCAGGAUUCCUGCCGGCUGGAAGAGGGAUCAAUGUGCCAGUGUCUCAUAAUGUCACCACAGUUGCUAUGGCAUUGGUAGGAGGUGGAUCACUUAAUCCACUGGGAUGAAUGGAGAGGACAGGUAGAGACUUUCUGUCAUAGGGCUGAUGGGAGCUGGUAUGGUAUAAGUGCAGUGUACAGCUUUUAUGGCUACCAGGCAGAUGCCAGCUCCUCUGAGGGCUGCUGCCUCCAUCUGCAGCCAUGUCCUCUGCCCAGCCAUGUGUUCCUCCACAACACAUGGGCAUAGCCAUGUUGGGCUGAGCUGGUAAGGCCCCAAAUGAGGAAAUGUAAGGAGCUGAUAUCAAGUGUCCGAGGGACAGGAAAUUCCUUUCCAUUUAGCACUCCCACAUGGUUUGUUUGCAGCGGGAAAACAGCAUCAGUUGUCUGCAGGAUGCCACUUGUGAUAGAGCUGGCCCUGGGAACCACACAGAGCAGUACCAUCGCUCUAGAAAUGCCACAGUAUUUUCAGCUCUACGUAUACAAUCUACCCUCCAUGACUUUCUCCCGCCCUGCCCACAUGUACUCCCUGCCUCAGAACCUGGACAAAACAAACAAAACAAGAACUAACAGCAAAAACGAGUAAAGUAAACCUCUAAGUAAUCCUCGCUCAGGAAACAGUCAAGCCAUAAACAAAAGCACUCCUGCAAGCUCAGCUGGCUGCGGACAGCUACAGCAAAAUGGAUGUUGUGCCCUUAAGGGCCCUUGUACUCCUGUGGUAUUUAAUUCGUAGCACACGAUAAAGCAGAAGAUUAAAGGGCAGUUUCUAGCUAUACAGGCAGCAAAAAAAUGGAGACUCUUCUUGGAAAAGGCAAAUAAAUAAAUAAGGAGUGGAACUCCACGGGCAGAAUGCUCUUGGUUCUGAAUCAUACGCCUCCACCAUUCCUCAUUAUUCCAUUGUGAGUCUACCUGUAACUGUGCAGGUACAGGGCUUAGAGGCAUUGCCCAUAUACCCCCUAGCUCUCUUCAAGACUCUCCUUGCUUCACAGCGAGGAUUGUAUGAAUCCUGUUGGUGUGUUUUUUCUCCCCACAUUUACAAUGGAGAGGACUGUAGCACCCCACACCUUGAUAGGACAUUGUGCACAAGAGGUGCAUGGCAGCAGUUGUGUGCACGGCAGAUGCUAUUGGAUCUUUAAAAGAAGGGAACACUUCAAACUGGAUUGAGAAGAGCAUUGGCCAGGUGCACACCCUGGUCUAUUGGUGACUCUGUGGGUCCCCUUUACAUCUUCAGGACGUUCUCUGACAGAAGUCCAGGGAGGUGGGUAUUGCUUUUGUUGCCACAGCAGUCAGCCCUCCGGGUAAGGGUUCUAAACCUCCCUAUCCUAUAACUAAUACUGCUUUGACUAAGGUGCUGCUUUUGUAGUCAUGCUAUAUCCUUAGAUAAUCCUGGGACAUUUCUCUAAAGGCAAAGCUGGGCAACAGCAUUGUUUUGUGUAGAGCUUUGAAAUCUGGCAUCAUACCAGCUUGAAGCAAGACUUGAAAAGUCACGCUGUCCCCCAGGAUGGAAGUAUAUGUAUAUGUUUUCAGACAGAUGAGAAUGUUUCAUUUGGACUUGUUUUUUUUUAAUGUAUUCCAAUUCUGAUGCUGAAUUUAAAAUACUCAGUGUGAGCAGUCAUCUCUAAAUGCUAAAUCAAAAUGCUUUGUUUGGUAAUGAUCAAAAUAUGACAUUUGCUUAUUGAAGGUAGAGCUAAUGUCUCUCUGUUUUUAUUAGGAAAUGAAAUUCUGCAAGGGAAAAUGGGGAUAGCUUCACAGAAUUUUUCAUUUUCUGAGGGCUGCAGGUCCUGUCUGAGCCUAACCCCUUGGGAUUGCUUCUGCCACCAAAGCACUCUUCCGCUAACUGUGCAGAACUAAGGAAGGAAAUCGGAGCCAGGAGGCCAAGGGCCAUGUUUAUCAUUUCUGAUCCAUCGCUAUCCAGGAUCAGAUCUUGACCUGAAACCACCCAUGCUCCUGUUUCAGUUCCUGCUCACGGAAUUGAUGUGUAUGGGUCUGAAGGAUGGCUGUCCUUAGGAGAAGAAUUGAUCGGUCACUGCUAUAAGAAGUGAUUCCAGGGCUGGGUUAAUGUGCCUUCAUGUUGAUCUCUUCUUACCUCUUCCUCUGGCUUUCUCCAUCCUAACUAUACACCGCAAUUUAUGCAGCUGUGUGGAGGUUAUGCCAGCUGCUUACAGGGGAAUCUCCUGCUAUGACAGGCGGGUGAGUGCUCCUGCAUCUGCCUGUGGAUGGGAGCUGAACCCAGUGACAAAGGCUCUCCAUACCAACAGAGGAUCCAGUGACAGGGAAGCCACGUUCUGAUUAUAACGUAUGAGAAGACGCAGUUCACAAGGCAGAAGGAUUUCUUCUCCCCCUUAGAAAAUGUUAAUUAUGUUGCCCUCGCUAAAUGCUAAACACAUUGAUCCACUGGAGCAGAGAGCACCAUAUGGUUAUUCAUGACAAAAUACAUCUCCAGAGCCCUAUUGCAACAGUGGGAAACUGUAUGGAGCUGGAUGUGGCAAAGGAUUUUGGGGCUGAAAGAACGUACGUAAAAGGCCUGGGUUCUGCUCUGGUGGUGCUGUAAGCCCAGGCCCACCCUGUAAGAAGGGAGAGAGAGGGAGAAAAGGGAGAAAAAAGCUGCCAUUGCUGUGCUGGAAUUCAGAAUGCAAGUUGAGCUCCUGCAGCAAUGCCCGCUGGUGAGAGCAGCACACACAUACGCACGCUGGCUGGCCCACUCUGCUCUUAUUGAAUAAUCAAUGCAGCAUUAGAUAAAAAUAGGUCCCAUCUUUCAGGAACGGAGGGGUGGCAUGGCUUGGCUUUGCUGAGCAUCCACUGUUCCUGGACAGGGGCCAAGAAGCCGGUGGGCAGCUCAGCUGAGCAGCCUUGCUGCUCGUGCUGCUGGCUCAGGUACAGGGCCCUGAGUGAGUGGUGGCAAGGGACAGUCCCUGCCCAUCUGGAUUGAGAGCCUCACAACACAUCCUGCAGGGAAUGCUCCUGCCUCCACAGCUGAUAAAUCAGUGAUUUACUGAGAGACUUUUAGGGCAUGCACAUUUUGGCCAAAUGUAUGCAAACCAAGAUUCACGGUAUGAAAAAAUGAGCCUGUCUUUUUCCGUAUUGCCUUGUCUGUUGACAGGGCAUGGCUCUGGUCACUCCACUUAGCUCUUUGUAGCUCAUGGAAAACUGCUCUACAGUGAGCAGGGAGGUGUCUAACAGCCUAACACCCCCCUUCAGUCAGAUUAACACGCUAAGCUGGACUGUUCAUCCUGUCCCCCUCUUGGGACUGUCCUUGUGCCUCCUGGCCUGCUGGCUCCAUUCUGAAUGUUAGUUCAGAGAGACCUCUUAGACUGCAGGGACAUUUUAGCUACAUCUGCUUCUAAAGAGACCUCUUGGAACUGACUAAUCUGGGAUCACGCUCCCAGAUUGUCCUGCACCUGUUUGCAGGCAAACUGGUCAAAAAGUACGUGAACAGCAUGACAAGCUGUGCAUUAAGCUGACGGGCAUGGAAGACUUCUGAAUACUCUUAUGGGAUUCUUACAGGUGUGCUGAUGGUAUACGUUUGCUUCUGGGUUGGCCUCAGGUUUAUCCUCUGAAGACAUUUCAUAGAAUCACAGCAUCGUUUGGGUUGGAAGGGACCCUUAAAGGUCACCUAGUCCAACCUGCUGCAAUGACCAGGAACACCUACAGCUCCAUCAGCUGCUCAGAGCCCCUCCAGCCUGAC